UGAGCAAUCUGCCCUUCUCAUCGGAAUAAGCGUUGGAAACGACGUCUAAUGCCGAAUACGACCUCCUUUCGCAUGAUCGGAGGUGGAAAGCUCCGGCGGAGAAGGAUGAGCUCGCGGCCUAUCAGCUAGUUGGUGUGGGUAAUGGCCCACCAAGGCUACGACGGGUAGCCGGCCUGAGAGGGUGACCCGGCCACACUGGGACUGAGACACGGCCCAGACUCCGUACGGGAGCAG
rnacentral:rRNA from 1 species